GAUGAACGCUGGCGGCGUGCUUAACACAUGCAAGUCGAACGGACAGGCCCUGCUUUUGUUGGGUGCUCGAUUGCCGCACGGGUGAGUAUCACGCGUGUAUCCUGCCCUUGUCUUUGGGAUAACUUUUGGAAACUGGGGCUAUUAUCGCAUAGGAGCUCCUGCUGCAUGGUGGUCGUUGGAAAGUUUCGGCGGUUGUGGCUCGUCUCGCGGCUUAUCCGCUUCUUGGUGGGGUAGUGGAAUACCAAGCGUUAGACGGGUAGGCGGCAUGAGAGGGGAACCAGCGACAUUGGGACUAAGGGACGGCGCAGAAUCCUACGGGAGGCAGCAGGGGAGAAUAUGACACAGUGAGCGGAAGCCUGUUACAGCGACGCCGCGUGCGGAAUGACGGCUUUCGGGUGGUGAACAGCUGUCGCCUGUGACGAAGCGGGAGUGACGGUAAUGGGUAAAGAAGCAACGGCUAACUACGUG
rnacentral:rRNA from 1 species